rnacentral:rRNA from 1 species
UGGGGAAUCUUGCGCAAUGGGCGAAAGCCUGACGCAGCCAUGCCGCGUGUAUGAUGAAGGUCUUAGGAUUGUAAAAUACUUUCACCGGCGAAGAUAAUGACUGUAGCCGGAGAAGAAGCCCCGGCUAACUUCGUG